GAGUAGGGCGGGACACGUGGUAUCCUGUCUGAAUAUGGGGGGACCAUCCUCCAAGGCUAAAUACUCCUGACUGACCGAUAGUGAACCAGUACCGUGAGGGAAAGGCGAAAAGAACCCCGGCGAGGGGAGUGAAAAAGAACCUGAAACCGUGUACGUACAAGCAGUGGGAGCACCUUCGGGUGUGACUGCGUACCUUUUGUAUAAUGGGUCAGCGACUUAUAUUCUGUAGCAAGGUUAACCGUAUAGGGGAGCCGCAGGGAAACCGAGUCUUAACUGGGCGUUAAGUUGCAGGGUAUAGACCCGAAACCCGGUGAUCUAGCCAUGGGCAGGUUGAAGGUUGGGUAACACUAACUGGAGGACCGAACCGACUAAUGUUGAAAAAUUAGCGGAUGACUUGUGGCUGGGGGUGAAAGGCCAAUCAAACCGGGAGAUAGCUGGUUCUCCCCGAAAGCUAUUUAGGUAGCGCCUCGUGAAUUCAUCUUCGGGGGUAGAGCACUGUUUCGGCUAGGGGGUCAUCCCGACUUACCAACCCGAUGCAAACUACGAAUACCGAAGAAUGUUAUCACGGGAGACACACGGCGGGUGCUAACGUCCGUCGUGAAGAGGGAAACAACCCAGACCGCCAGCUAAGGUCCCAAAGUCAUGGUUAAGUGGGAAACGAUGUGGGAAGGCACAGACAGCCAGGAUGUUGGCUUAGAAGCAGCCAUCAUUUAAAGAAAGCGUAAUAGCUCACUGGUCGAGUCGGCCUGCGCGGAAGAUGUAACGGGGCUAAACCAUGCACCGAAGCUGCGGCAGCGACACUAUGUGUUGUUGGGUAGGGGAGCGUUCUGUAAGCCUGCGAAGGUGUGCUGUGAGGCAUGCUGGAGGUAUCAGAAGUGCGAAUGCUGACAUAAGUAACGAUAAAGCGGGUGAAAAGCCCGCUCGCCGGAAGACCAAGGGUUCCUGUCCAACGUUAAUCGGGGCAGGGUGAGUCGACCCCUAAGGCGAGGCCGAAAGGCGUAGUCGAUGGGAAACAGGUUAAUAUUCCUGUACUUGGUGUUACUGCGAAGGGGGGACGGAGAAGGCUAUGUUAGCCGGGCGACGGUUGUCCCGGUUUAAGCAUGUAGGCUGGUURUCCAGGCAAAUCCGGAUAAUCAAGGCUGAGGUGUGAUGACGAGGCACUACGGUGCUGAAGUAACAAAUGCCCUGCUUCCAGGAAAAGCCUCUAAGCAUCAGGUAACAUCAAAUCGUACCCCAAACCGACACAGGUGGUCAGGUAGAGAAUACCAAGGCGCUUGAGAGAACUCGGGUGAAGGAACUAGGCAAAAUGGUGCCGUAACUUCGGGAGAAGGCACGCUGGUGUGUAGGUGAAGUCCCUGCGGAUGGAGCUGAGACCAGUCGAAGAUACCAGCUGGCUGCAACUGUUUAUUAAAAACACAGCACUGUGCAAACACGAAAGUGGACGUAUACGGUGUGACGCCUGCCCGGUGCCGGAAGGUUAAUUGAUGGGGUUAUCCGUAAGGAGAAGCUCUUGAUCGAAGCCCCGGUAAACGGCGGCCGUAACUAUAACGGUCCUAAGGUAGCGAAAUUCCUUGUCGGGUAAGUUCCGACCUGCACGAAUGGCGUAAUGAUGGCCAGGCUGUCUCCACCCGAGACUCAGUGAAAUUGAACUCGCUGUGAAGAUGCAGUGUACCCGCGGCAAGACGGAAAGACCCCGUGAACCUUUACUAUAGCUUGACACUGAACAUUGAGCCUUGAUGUGUAGGAUAGGUGGGAGGCUUUGAAGCGUGGACGCCAGUCUGCGUGGAGCCAACCUUGAAAUACCACCCUUUAAUGUUUGAUGUUCUAACGUUGGCCCCUKACCGGGGUUGCGGACAGUGUCUGGUGGGUAGUUUGACUGGGGCGGUCUCCUCCCAAAGCGUAACGGAGGAGCACGAAGGUUAGCUAAUCCUGGUCGGACAUCAGGAGGUUAGUGCAAUGGCAUAAGCUAGCUUGACUGCGAGCGUGACGGCGCGAGCAGGUGCGAAAGCAGGU
rnacentral:rRNA from 1 species